ACGGUCGGUCAAAAACUCGAAAUUGAAACGAGUGAUAUAACUCAGCGUAAGCCUUGGAGACCAAGAGUCUUUUAAAUUCACAAAAGUAUCAGUUUUGGACUUUGAAUUCUGACCGUUGGGAUCUCAGACGCUCUACCAAAUUUUAACAUCUCCAUCUCUGGCGAAGUAAUUGAGAAGCAGUAGAAAAGCGUUGAAGCAGAAAAGUUAGAUCGUCGGCCACCGUUGUUGCCGAUCUCGGCGAAAGGGAAAGAAACGAAGUCGUUGGAGAAAGAUCUAGUGGAGUAGGAGGCGAUGUUGAAGAAGAUGAAGAACGAGAAGGAGAAGACGGAGGAUUUUCUUAAGGAGAAAAGACGAGAUCUUGCGGAAGAAGAGUCACGAUCGUGUUCGCCAGAGAAACUUGGAUCAACGGUAACAAUACUCGUUAUACCUUCAGGAUUCUUCUCUAUAUAUUCGGAGGCUAAUUCCCCAUCGUUACUGAGAAUUGAGUUUUAGGUCAACUCAGGAUUCAAAAUCAUCAUCUUCAGAGGAUGAUAAGAGCUCUGCCUUUGGUGGUUAAGCCAUUAUGCAGAGAGUUACUCAGUUGAAACACUGAACCAAGUGACCAAGGAUAAUAGGUAACAAAACUAACAAAAAGUUAAAAUUGGAUCUCUUAUUUGCCACAAAGCUUGAUAAUGAUUAUUUGUGUCUAGUUAAUGCAAAACAUGCAGUUUAUGAUUUUUUUCCAUUCUUCAGCACCUGAUUAGCGUAUCUCACAGUAGUGAGAAAGAUCCAAGUGUUUGAGUUUCCAUGUUAUGGUACCUUAAACGCAAACUCAAAGGAUCAAUCAGCCAUGCCUAGUUUCAGGUACCGUGAACGAGCUCACCGUGUUGAUGAAGCACUCGGUUUCAUGCACGUUGCUGGACUAAUGCUGGAUCAUCCCAUUAUCCAACAACAAAUUUCUGGAAUUCCUUAUGAGUGUUUGUCUUACAAACAAUCAUUAACACGGCUAGACUCGACCUCUGGUCUCUACAACGAUUGUUCUUCUCAUAUGAUUUGGGUUGGUAAGUGAACCAUGCAGCUUGAUGGUGCCCACGUCGAGUUCUUAAGGUUUGUUUUUCUCUCAUCAGGUUUUAGUUUCUACUAGUCAGACGGACUGAGAUCUUUGUGGGCAUGUGGAGGUAUAGAGGGAGUUGGCCAUACUGGAAAGUGAGUUGAGAAGUGCUGGUUAGGCUUUGGUCAUUUCUGGCACAACUGGAAGGACCUCAAGGUUGUUAGCUAAAGAAAGAGGUACUCCAACUACACGACAAGUAGAGCAAGCUCGCACCGAGAUUGAGAAUCUUUGGCGAAUGGUUGGAGAAGAAAACAACCAGAAAAAGAGACACUAUCAACAUUCGCAUAGAGUUCAAUGUCUGUUAUAUUCACUUGUUAGUUAUACAUAAAGCGUAGAUGUUAUGUGACUACCAAAUAUUAGUAUGUCUUUGUCCAGGUUCCGAUGGAACAUCAAUACCUCAAGAUGAGGGUGUGCCGUACAGGGGACUCUGAGAAUACAACAAAAACUAAGUUCACUGCUCUAGUAUAUCUCCACUAAGACCUACAUUAGAAUGUGAUUGAUGAUUUUUUGAAAUAUUUGAGACGGAAAGCUCUUUCCACAUUUGGAACAUGCUAUAACGCGAGUUAACACUCCUUCUCUGAAAUUUAGAGGAGAUUUUACAUAUUUUCUUUUCACCUUUUUGUCUCUCUUUUCUACUCUUCUGGAUCUUGUCCAGGUUCUAGAUGCUACCAGCAAUGAGUCCUGGGGUCCGAAUGGAUCACUUCUUGUGGACAUUGCGUAUGCUUGGAGAUAUCACCACGAAUACGAGCUGACCAUGGAAACGUCUUAGUUACACUGGAAAAAAUUGGUGGCCUGUAUAUAAGGUAAAAGAAAUAUAAAGGCCUAUAGCUUUUUUUUGGUAUGCUAUAAACUGUGGAGGUGAAUGAAAUCAAUAUCUUUUGGGUUAUUAUCUCUUCUCUACUCUCCAAGCAUUGACAGUUUUUUUAAGUACAUGAUAAGGUCAUGGAUCAGAACGUGUGAUUGACGAGACUGAAGAAUGUCAAUCAUGGAUCAGAACGUGUCAUAGUAGUAAUAUAUAUUUUAGAUGGAUUCAACACAAGAUUUUUAUUUGAUCUCAUAUAUAUGUUGAUUUUCUUACAGAUGGAGUUUAUCCUUUUUCCAUGUGUCAAACAUUAUCUGGUUUUCAGUAUAUUGAUUCCUUAUUGAAGGGAUGGUGGAGGUUUGAGUUAUGAUCUUAGAGCUAAAGAAAGAGAUCGUUCAACUAGUACGUCAAUUAGAGCAAGCUCGUACCGAGAUUGGGGAUCUUUAAAAAAUGGUUGGAGGAGAAAAACAACCAGAUAAAGAGACGCCAUCAACAUAAUCAGUAGAGUUCAAUGUCUGUUAUAUUAAUUCACUCAUUAGUUUUAUAGAAAGCAUCGAUAUCCUGUCACUACCAAUUAUUAGUUCGUCUUUGUCCAUGUUUUGCUAGAACAUCAAUACCCUAAGCUACGAGUGCCCAUUACAUGGGACUCUGAUAAUACAACACCACUAAUCAGCUCACUGCUCUAGUAUAUCUCCAAAAUCCACUGAAUACAAUUAUGAAGAGAAAUGCCUCCCUGCUUUCAGAUUUCAGUAUAGAAUUUGCAUCAAGUAGGAUUGCUAUGCAGGCCAGAGCAUAGAUGCCUUCAUGGUAUACUGCAAUUGUCGCUGGAGCACUCUAUGUAAGACCCUCAUUCUUAGAUAUCUAUUUGUCUUGAAAAGUUUCCUAUCCUGUGACGAGAUAUUCUAUUUCCUUAAAGAGCAUCCAUGACCAGUGUUUCUGUGGUUUUGGAUUACCUUAUAUCUUGAGAAGGGGAAAAUUCCUCCAAAGCAUAUAUCUCUUGUGCGUUCUCAAGUGUCAAAGCACUAGAGAUAUAGGUGCACACUCUACGUGAUGAAGUUGGAUGGUAAAUGUCAUGCGAUAUAUGCGGAGGACAGAGCGGCAGGAACCUUUCGUCUCUUUGACGGAAGAACUUGGUUACUAUACAUACAACAGCAGUGUUGAUGAAGAUGUGCAUACCUCUUCUUUCACCUGCGUCAAGAUUUAUCCAUUUAAAAACUUCUGAAGGACAAGCCAUGCAGGCUGGUGAACUUAAGCCAAGCUUGAUCUCGAUGAUCCUUCUGCUGUAAGAAAGGGAGCUUCCAAAGAUAAUUGCCGGCAAUAUUUGUUUUUCUAAUUUUGAUCAAACUUUUCGAUUACAAAAUUUGACUUUGAGACAUAUCUUCUAGGUUGUUUAAGACAGAUUGUGUCGCCUUGAUAGCCCUAAACUCCCAUUGUUCAAUGGCAAGAGUACUUUACAGUCCCGGCGACACGACUACCUAAAGAUCUCAGGAACAUGGCAAACACUCGUAUAUUGUUCAUAAUCCGUUUUCCUUUCUUGCGUUCUUUGUUUCGAGUUUCAAGUUUUUUAAAGCGGUUUUAUAAAGUUCUUUAUUAGCUAUAAUCAAAGUAUAUUGAAUUUGAGAUUAUAUCCAAAAACUCUCAGACCGGUGAGUUCUUGAGGCGACUACCUAUCUUUCAAAUUUCUUCUCUUCGGACCACCCUUGGCGACAGGCUCAUUGAUUUUCUUGCCAUGAGAAAAGAGAACCUUGUGACAUUUUAUGUAGGUGGUAGAGAAAGUUCAAAGUUCUGCCCCUCUUUGAAGUAUGUAUUAGAAGUACUAAGGAUGAUGGUAGAGGAAGCUCAUGAGCCAGACGAAAGCAGAAGAGGAUCUUAAAACAAUUUAUUUGUGGAUCUGACCAAGAAAGAGACUUUGCUCAUUUUUCUUACAAGAUUCUUCAGUAAGGAGACAGAAAGGAGUAUGACUUUGUGAAGUCAAGUCUUUCAGCAGAAGGCUCCAACGUUGUUUAUGAUAUCAAAGGUACAUCUACUGUAUUUCAGCUGGUGUUUAUCUGCAAUCUGAAAUCAUGCCACACUGUGAGGAAUGUAUUAUGGGUUCAAGAAAACAGACUGCAUUCACGUUUUGUAGUCAAUUCAAGAUCGUCUGAAGCCGGAACCUCUCAUUUUUGCCUACCUGAUAUAUGCCAAGGUUAUUUCUCUCUCUCUAUUUUUAUUUUUUUACCAUUCCCUUGGAGAAACUGAGAA